CUGUGGAGCGGCAGUGGAAACUGGAGAGCUAGAGCAUGGUAGGGGUAGAGGGAAUUCCCCGGUGUAGCGGUGAAAUGCGUAGAUAUCGGGAAGAACACCAGUGGCGAAGGCGCUCUACUGGGCCAUGACUGACGCUGAGGGACGAAAGCUAGGGGAGCGAAAGGGAUUAGAUACCCCUGUAGUCCUAGCUGUAAACGAUGGACACUAGGUGUUGCGCGUAUCGACCCGUGCAGUAUCGAAGCUAACGCGUUAAGUGUCCCGCCUGGGGAGUACGCACGCAAGUGUGAAACUCAAAGGAAUUGACGGGGGCCCGCACAAGCGGUGGAGUAUGUGGUUUAAUUCGAUGCAACGCGAAGAACCUUACCAGGGCUUGACAUCCUGCGAAUCUUCCUGAAAGGGGAGAGUGCCUUCGGGAGCGCAGAGACAGGUGGUGCAUGGCUGUCGUCAGCUCGUGUCGUGAGAUGUUGGGUUAAGUCCCGCAACGAGCGCAACCCUCGUUUUUAGUUGCCAUCAUUCAGUUGGGCACUCUAGAGAGACUGCCGGGGACAACUCGGAGGAAGGUGGGGACGACGUCAAGUCAUCAUGCCCCUUACGUCCUGGGCUACACACGUACUACAAUGCUGCGGACAGAGGGCAGCGAACUCGCGAGAGUAAGCAAAUCCCAUAAACCGCGGCCCAGUUCAGAUUGCAGGCUGCAACUCGCCUGCAUGAAGGAGGAAUCGCUAGUAAUCGCCGGUCAGCAUGCGGCGGUGAAUACGUUCCCGGGCCUUGUACACACCGCCCGUCACACCAUGGGAGUUGGCCACGCCCGAAGUCGUUACUCUAACCG
rnacentral:rRNA from 1 species